rnacentral:sRNA from 1 species
UUCCAGAGAUUUACUGUGCGUGGCAGAA